rnacentral:rRNA from 1 species
UACGGGGGGGGUAAGCGUUGUUCGGAAUUACUGGGCGUAAAGGGCUCGCAGGCGGCCAACUAAGUCAGACGUGAAAUCCCUCAGCUUAACUGGGGAACUGCGUCUGAUACUGGAUGGCUUGGAUUUGGGAGAGGGAUGCGGAAUUCCAGGUGUAGCGGUGAAAUUCGUAGAUAUUCGCAAGAACACCAGUGGCGAAGGCGGCUUACUGGUCCGGUUCUGACGCUGAGGCGCGAAAGCGUGGGGAGCAAACAGG